GCUGCCCUAUUCUGAAGUGAUCUUCGGGCCAGUUUUAAGUGUGUGGUUUUUCUGGUCUUUGAGCUAAUUUUAAAGACAACAACAACAACAAUAAUAAUAGCGUUUGAGGAUUUUCUAAGUUGGAUUGCCUGCACUCAAGGGUCAAAGCUGUUUUCGGGCGGAAAUGAUCCCACUCGUUGCAGGACUUUCACAUGUGCGCGCAUGCACACUAAGAUCUACACGCAGUGUGUGAGACUGACCACCCCACAACACGAUAAACAUCCUAAGAAGUUUGCUUUCCCCACUGGUGAGAUUUCACCACACUGCUUUAUGCAGAACGCCUGUAGGCUGGCUAAAAUUUGUUGUUACCCUUGCCAUUAUCAAUACUCUCCGAAUUGGCACCGCGUUCGGGGAUGUUGAGUUAACUAAUUUCCAGCAGGGCUAAAGAUAACCUCUCCCUCUAAGCCUCUAUUUUUUUUUUUUUUUUUGCAACGUCAUCGAGCGAGGCGAGGUUAACCCACCACGACGGAAACAGAUCAAAGUCAGUGCAGAGUCCAGGCUGCACCCGUGCAGCGCACAGGGGCAGAGGGGCUGGCAGCACGGCCGGGUCCGGGGCUCAGCCCACGGAAGCCCGCAGGACUGGGGACCCACGGAAGCCCGCAGGACUGGGGACCCACGGAAGCCCGCAGGACUGGGGACCCACGGAAGCCCGCAGGACACGGGCUCUGCCUCGCAUCUGGAGUCCUCCAGCGUGAAACCCACGAGAAGUUGCUUCUGGGUGAACCCCGCUCCACACGGUCCAUUUCUAAUGUUCUGCCUUAGCCCAGGCCCGGGGUCAUGGGCCCAACCAGCAAAGACUCAACUCCACAGUGAGCUGAAAUAAACCCUCUCUCAGUACCUCUUUAUCUCAAGUAUUUGCUACAGUAAUGGAGAGCCGAUGAAUUCAGAUGGCAGUUCAACCUCUGCCCUCACAUUCCCUCCCAGAAGGCACUGACUGGGUCUGUAUUUGCUCCUCUGCACUUCUUUUAUGAAUCACAGAUGGAGCUGCCUUUGUGCACACAUACAUUUUUCAUUUAUCUGUCAGGAAAUGUUUCCUGAGGCUCUUGCUCUGCGGAGUGUACCUCCAGUGGUUGACUCUAGGACAGACAUGGCUCCUGCUCACACACAGCUUCUGACCCCGUUUGCCAACAAGCACCACCCCCCACCCCCACCCCACUUGGGAGAGACGGCCCCACUCCUCACGACCCUGAUGGAUGGUGCAGGGGAGCUGGCCAUGCCCCUUGCCUUCCUGAGGUGGACGGCCCUAGUGGCACAGACCGACUAGCUCAACUACCACCCAGGCCCACAGCCCGACAUCUGUCUCAUGGAGGACCUGCUGGAGCUCGUGACGGGACUGGUCCUGUGGAACGAUACCAGCAGGAUCUCCAUGACUGGAGGCAGCCAAGGGAUGUCCUAGAGGAGUUCCGGGGAGGAUCCAGUGAUGACGGUGUAGAGGCCUUGAACCAGACCAGUGACUCAUUGCAAUGAACAUUGGCAAGUAAAGUACCAGGAUGAGUGAAGAGGAUUGGAGACAGGAAGCCUAUUUAUUUUUCUGAAUCUGAAGGUAGAAGGUUAAGGAAUUCCCAGGCAGAAGGACAUCAUGUCCAACCUAGGCUUUGGAUUUAUUGGUGUUUAACUCACAGCAGCUCUAGUUUGUUAGAACUGUGUUUAAAGGUGUAUGGUACAUUUGGGCAAACAGAAGAGAACAGACAUCCAGGUUAAAAAGCAUUACAUUUUAAAAACAAUUUUUAUUUAUUUUAAUUAAAUAAAAUUCAAAAUUAA